CCUACGGGCGGCAGCAGUGAGGAAUAUUGGUCAAUGGUCGGGAGACUGAACCAGCCAAGCCGCGUGAGGGAUGAAGGUACAGAGUAUCGUAAACCUCUUUUGUCAGGGAACAAAGGCGGGGACGUGUCCCCGGCUGAGUGUACCUGAAGAAAAAGCAUCGGCUAACUCCGUGCCAGCAGCCGCGGUAAUACGGAGGAUGCGAGCGUUAUCCGGAUUUAUUGGGUUUAAAGGGUGCGCAGGCGGUCUGUUAAGUCAGCGGUCAAAGCCCGGGGCUCACCCCCGGCCCGCCGUUGAAACUGGCAGUCUCGAGUUGGAGAGAAGUAUGCGGAAUGCGCGGUGUAGCGGUGAAAUGCAUAGAUAUCGCGCAGAACUCCGAUUGCGAAGGCAGCAUGCCGGCUCCACACUGACGCUGAGGCACGAAAGCGUGGGUAUCGAACAGGAGUAGAUACCCCGGUAGUC
rnacentral:rRNA from 1 species